rnacentral:tRNA from 1 species
AGAAACUUAGGCUAAUUAGACCAAAGGCCUUCAAAGCCUUAAGAGAAGGUUUAACCCCUUCAGUUUCUG